UACGUAGGGUGCGAGCGUUAAUCGGAAUUACUGGGCGUAAAGCGUGCGCAGGCGGUGAUGUAAGACCGAUGUGAAAUCCCCAGGCUUAACCUGGGAACUGCAUUCGAGACUGCAUUGCUAGAGUAUGGGAGAGGGAAGUGGAAUUUCCGGUGUAGCGGUGAAAUGCGUAGAUAUCGGAAGGAACAUCAGUGGCGAAAGCGACUUCCUGGACCAAUACUGACGCUCAUGUGCGAAAGCGUGGGGAGCAAACAGG
rnacentral:rRNA from 1 species